rnacentral:tRNA from 1 species
UAACUCCCACCCCUAACUCCCAAAGCUAGGAUUCUAAACUAAACUAUUUUCUG